rnacentral:rRNA from 1 species
GCAUAUCAAUAAGCGGAGGAAAAGAAACCAACAGGGAUUGCCCUAGUAACGGCGAGUGAAGCGGCAACAGCUCAAAUUUGAAAUCUGGCCCUCGGGUCCGAAUUGUAAUUUGUAGAGGAUGCUUUUGGUGAGGUACCUUCCGAGUUCCCUGGAACGGGACGCCAUAGAGGGUGAGAGCCCCGUCUGGUCGGAUACCGAUCCUCUGUAAAGCUCCUUCGACGAGUCGAGUAGUUUGGGAAUGCUGCUCUAAAUGGGAGGUAUAUGUCUUCUAAAGCUAAAUAUUGGCCAGAGACCGAUAGCGCACAAGUAGAGUGAUCGAAAGAUGAAAAGCACUUUGAAAAGAGAGUUAAAAAGUACGUGAAAUUGUUGAAAGGGAAGCGCUCAUGACCAGACUUGGGCUUGGUUGAUCAUCCAGGGUUCUCCCUGGUGCACUCUUCCAGCCCAGGCCAGCAUCAGUUCGCUGUGGGGGAUAAAGGCUUUGGGAAUGUGGCUCCUCCGGGAGUGUUAUAGCCCAUUGUGUAAUACCCUGUGGUGGACUGAGGUUCGCGCAUCUGCAAGGAUGCUGGCGUAAUGGUCAUCAGCGACCCGUCUUGAAACACGGACCAAGGAGUCGUCUUCGUAUGCGAGUGUUCGGGUGUUAAACCCCUACGCGUAAUGAAAGUGAACGCAGGUGAGAGCUUCGGCGCAUCAUCGACCGAUCCUGAUGUUCUCGGAUGGAUUUGAGUAAGAGCAUACGGGGCCGGACCCGAAAGAAGGUGAACUAUGCCUGUAUAGGGUGAAGCCAGAGGAAACUCUGGUGGAGGCUCGCAGCGGUUCUGACGUGCAAAUCGAUCGUCAAAUAUGGGCAUGGGGGCGAAAGACUAAUCGAACCUUCUAGUAGCUGGUUUCCGCCG